GACGAACGCUGGCGGCGUGCUUAACACAUGCAAGUCGAACGGAAAGGCCCUGCUUUUGUGGGGUGCUCGAGCGGCGAACGGGUGAGUAACACGUGAGUAACCUGCCCUUGACUUUGGGAUAACUUCAGGAAACUGGGGCUAAUACCGGAUAGGAGCUCUUGCUGCACGGUGUGGGUUGGAAAGUUUCGGCGGUUGGGGAUGGACUCGCGGCUUAUCAGCUUGUUGGUGGGGUAGUGGCUUACCAAGGCUUUGACGGGUAGCCGGCCUGAGAGGGUGACCGGCCACAUUGGGACUGAGAUACGGCCCAGACUCCUACGGGAGGCAGCAGUGGGGAAUAUCGCACAAUGGGCGGAAGCCUGAUGCAGCAACGCCGCGUGCGGGAUGACGGCCUUCGGGUUGUAAACCGCUUUCGCCUGUGACGAAGCGUGAGUGACGGUAAUGGGUAAAGAAGCACCGGCUAACUACGUG
rnacentral:rRNA from 1 species